rnacentral:rRNA from 1 species
UACGUAGGGUGCGAGCGUUAAUCGGAAUUACUGGGCGUAAAGCGUGCGCAGGCGGUGACUCAAGCCAGAUGUGAAAUCCCCGGGCUCAACCUGGGAACUGCAUUUGGAACUAGGUCGCUAGAGUGUGGAAGAGGAAGGUGGAAUUCCUGGUGUAGCAGUGAAAUGCGUAGAUAUCAGGAGGAACACCGAUGGCGAAGGCAGCCUUCUGGGCCAACACUGACGCUCAUGCACGAAAGCGUGGGGAGCAAACAGG